rnacentral:rRNA from 1 species
UGGGGAAUCUUGGACAAUGGGCGCAAGCCUGAUCCAGCCAUGCCGCGUGAGUGAAGAAGGCCUUCGGGUUGUAAAGCUCUUUUGUCAGGGACGAUAAUGACGGUACCUGAAGAAUAAGCCCCGGCAAACUUCGUGCCAGCAGCCGCGGUAAUACGAAGGGGGCUAGCGUUGUUCGGAAUUACUGGGCGUAAAGCGCACGUAGGCUGAUUGUUAAGUCAGGGGUGAAAUCCCAGAGCUCAACUCUGGAACUGCCCUUGAUACUGGCAAUCUCGAGUCCGGAAGAGGUUAGUGGAAUUCCCAGUGUAGAGGUGAAAUUCGUAGAUAUUAGGAAGAACACCGGUGGCGAAGGCGGCUCACUGGAUCGGUACUGACGCUGAGGUGCGAAAGCGUGGGGAGCAAACAGGAUUAGAUACCCCCGUAGUCCCUGAGCGGGCUGGCAAGGCGCAU